AUUGCACGCCGGCGGCAGGCCUAACACAUGCAAGUCGUACGAGUGGCGGACGGGUGUGUAAUGUCUGGGAAACUGCCUGAUGGAGGGGGAUCACUACUGGAAACGGUAGCUAAUACCGCAUACCAUCGGAUGUCCCCAGAUGAGAUUAGCUAGUAGUGGGGGUAAAGGCUCACCUAGGCGACGAUCCCUAGCUGGUCUCAGAGGAUGACCAGCCACAAUGGAACUGAGAGACGGUCCAGGCGCCUACGGGAGGCAGCAGUGGGGAAUAUUGCACAAUGGGCGCAAGCCUGAGACAGCCAUGCCGCGUGUAUGAAGAAGGCCUUCGGGUUGUAAAGUACUUUCAGCGGGGAGGCGUUACCCGCAGGAGAAGCACCGGCUAACUCCGUGCCAGCAGCCGCGGUAAUAC
rnacentral:rRNA from 1 species